AGUGGUUGGGAGGGCACUGCCUGUCUAUAGGGCGUCUAGAAGAGGUCUGUGGGAUUUUUGGGGGAGCCUCUACGAGUGCUGGGGAAAAUCUAAAAGAUAUUGGGGUCCAGGAAGGGGUUUGGCGGGACCCUUGGGCUUUGGGGGGUCUUUAACGGUCCGGGGUCCGUGGGAUGUUUUGGGGGGCCCAGGACAGCGCUGGGGGGUCUGUGGGGACCAGGAAGCGUAUAGGGGCGCCUGGGGGUUUAUUGGGCGUAACGGGGCGGGGACCCCCCAAGCCCGUGGGAACGGGGCUCCCCUGUCUUCGCCUUCCCGCGGCCGACGUGGCGCGUCAGCGGCUGCCCCUGAGCUCCCGCAAGGCCUCGUGCGGCCCCGCCUCCCGUUGGCCGCUGGGCCCGCGCCGCUUUGCUCGCCUCCUGGACUACAACUCCCGAAAGGCCGCGAGGCCCCGUAGGGCGCUGUUGAGCCGGGACUGCGGUUCCCGUCGUGCCCCGCGGCCCCUGAGAGUCCCGUCAGAGCCGGGCCUGGCCCCGCAGCGCCGACCCGGCUGCUCCCCAAGUGCUUCCCUCGGCCGUAAGUCCACCCUCUAAUGAUCCUGCAAGCACUCCCAACUGGAUUCCAAGCGCCCUUCGAGUGUCUCCCAGGAACUGGCGUGAUGACGACGAUGUAGAGAAAGACCCUGCCCCUAUCGCAGUAUCAGCAAUAGUUCAGCCUUUAAUUAAAUUCGAAUCAAAACUGCAAUUGCCGAUGCGGAGGAUGGACAAGCCCCCCCACCUUUUCGUGCCACUCCCGUGGUCCCUCUUGGAGCCAGGGAAAUUGCAGGAAAAGCAUUCCUGCAUGUUGUGCACAACAAAACUUUCUUGGGAAUUGGGAACAGAAUCUGGGUGGUGAGCUUCCCUGACAGGUGGACAUAAAUCCUGUCAGAUGAAGAAGAGGUUGAGAAGACUUUGGGGACCUGGAGUAUACUGUUCUGUAGCCCCCCGCACCCUCCCCAAAACCCCAGAGACCCCCUUCAUCCCCUACAGACUCCCCAGUAGAUCCCAAAUACCCUUAGAAUGCCCUCAAAAUGCUCCACAGCUUCCCCCCGCCAGACACCCUAUAAACCCUCAGGGACCCUCCCAAACCUCCCUCUAAAACCUCCUGAGGCUCUCUAAAACAACCCAUAGAUCUGCCCAAACCCCUGGCACUCCCCUGCACCCCCCAAAAGGGGCUACCCCAGGUGGCCACAAUUAGUCAUGGACUGCCUGAGCCACUUUUUCGGCUGAUAUGGAUGUAGGUACAAAUCUAAUAGAAAUAUAAAAUACAAUAUAGAAAGGGGCCUCCAGGAGAGCUGGGGAGGGUCUUUGUCUGGGGAAUGGGAUGGAGGCUGAGGGUUUUCACCUGCCAGAGGGCAGGGUUAGAUGGGAUACUGGGAAGAAAUUCCUCCCUGUGAGGGUGGUGAGACCCUGGCACAGGCUGUCCAGAGAAGCUGCAGCUGCUCCAUCUCUGGAAGUGUCCAAGGCCAGGUUGGACAGGGCUUGGAGCAACCUGCGAUAGUGGAAUAUGCCCCUGCCCAUGGCAGGGGGUGGAUCGAGACGACCUUUGAAGUCCCUUCCAACCCAAGCCAACCUGGGAUUCUAAAAGUGGGGGAGGUUUGGGGUGGGUGACCUUGGCUGACCCCAGGUGCUCCAUCACUCCAGCUUCAGGAAAAGACAGCAAGAGAAAACCUGAUGAAAAAGCUCCUGGAGGAGAUGGGGUUGGGGGGAUGUGAGUCCCUCAGGAACUGCUCCAGGUCCCUUUCCAUGGGCUGAGUCCCUCAGGCUGAGGCAUUUCGGACACAGAGGCAACACCUACCUCACUGUAUUCUUCUCCAGCGCUGCAGGGGAGCCUCUGCUCCGCAGCACCUCCUCACCUGGUGUGCUGCUCAAGGAGGAAGGACAACAACAGCAAAAGGGACUUUUUUGCACCAAAAUAAAAUUAAACUGUGAAUGUUACUUUUCUCA
ensembl:lncRNA